AUUGAACGCUGGCGGCAGGCCUAACACAUGCAAGUCGAGCGGAUGAAGGGAGCUAGCUCCUGGAUUCAGCGGCGGACGGGUGAGUAAUGCCUAGGAAUCUGCCUGGUAGUGGGGGAUAACGUCCGGAAACGGGCGCUAAUACCGCAUACGUCCUGAGGGAGAAAGUGGGGGAUCUUCGGACCUCACGCUAUCAGAUGAGCCUAGGUCCUAUUAGCUAGUUGGUGGGGUAAAGGCCUACCAAGGCGACGAUCGGUAACUGGUCUGAGAGGAUGAUCGGUCACAAUGGGACUGAGGGACGGCCCAGACUCCUAGGGGAGGGAGCAGUGGGGAAUAUUGAACAAUGGGCGGAAGGCUGAUGCAGCGACGCCGCGUGGGGGAUGACGUCCUUCGGGUUGGAAACCCCUUUCGCCAGGGACGAAGCGCAAGUGACGGUACCUGGAGAAGAAGCACCGGCUAACUACGUG
rnacentral:rRNA from 1 species